rnacentral:rRNA from 1 species
UACGGGAGGCAGCAGUGGGGAAUAUUGCACAAUGGGCGAAAGCCUGAUGCAGCUAUGCCGCGUGUAUGAAGAAGGCCUUAGGGUUGUAAAGUACUUUCAUCGGGGAGGAAAAAACAAAACUAAUAAUUUUAUUUCUUGACGUUACCCGAAAAAGAAGCACCGGCUAACUCCGUGCCAGCAGCCGCGGUAAUACGGAGGGUGCUAGCGUUAAUCAGAAUUACUGGGCGUAAAGAGCACGUAGGUGGUUUUUUUAAGUCAGAUGUGAAAUCCCUGGGCUUAACCUGGAACUGCAUUUUGAAACUGAAAUACUAGAGUAUCGUAGAGGGAGGUAGAAUUCUAGGUGUAGCGGUGAAAUGCGUAGAUAUCUGGAGGAAUACCUGUGGCGAAAGCGGCCUCCUAAACGAAUACUGACACUGAGGUGCAAAAGCGUGGGGAGCAAACAGGGAUUAGAUACC